ensembl:lncRNA
GGACUGAUAGCCGCCUCAUCCGCGGUCCAAUCGGGGCCCAUCUGGGAAGGGCGAGCGUAAGGACCACAUGCGAUCUAGCCAGCAGGGCGUGCUCCUUCCAAACCCAGGACUCAGGGGAAAAAACGUCUUGGAAACAUUUGCAGGACCACAGAGCUUCUAGAGUCGAGGAGAGUGACAAACAUUUUGGCAAGUGAGAAGUGCGGCUGUGCUGGCAGCUGAUGAAGGUUUCUGCUGUGGAGGGGCAGCCUGGGAGCCAAGAGAGACGACAGCAAGGAGCGGAGGUGACCUGGUAGCACGGAAAAUGGGGUGGGGCAGGGGCCUCGGGAGGAGCAGCGGGAGGUUUUGGGACGACUGCCUGGUCUCGGGUGACCUGCACGCCAGCUCCGCUCCUGGCUCCCCAGGCAGGCUUGUCGGGGAGCACACAUGGGACGGUCCUUCUUCUCCAAACCCAGAGUGUGGGCUGUGGGUCUUCACUCUGACAGUCACAGCUCGGUGAUCCUGGGCAAGAUCCAUAAAGUAGGCUUCAGAAGGAUCUGCCCCAUAGCAUCAUUGUGAGGACCCCAGGUGCUCAGAUGGGGCGAAGAGCUCAGGGAGGAAGAGCUGAGAAAUGCACACCGCAACGAUGCCCUUCACCUCCCGGUGACUGUGCCAGGGCGGGUGCCUGGCCUGGGUGCCGGGGGCCUGAAGCCCCUGUCUGUGUUCCCCAGGGAAGGCGGCUGGCAAGCAGGUUCCCUGCUGCUCGUCGCUGGCUGUAGGGUGCCUCUGCUUCACACUGCACCACCCACUUUCACCCUGCUGACCCCGGGUCCAGGCUUGGGGCGGGGGCGGGGGGACCACCCUGUAGAUUUUUCUCAUGUAAAACAACUAAGCAACAUCUUCUAACUCAGUUGUUCCCGGAAGUGCUGCAUUUUGGGUUUUGGGGUCUGGUGCGUGAAGGAAACUGAUACAGUCCCUGGUUCCGCAUCGUCUCCUGUUGGUUCUCAGCUGGCUCAGAACCCGGGGUGGGGAGGGUUAAGGACAGCCCCAAACGGUCCACAGGCCCAGUCACUCGGGACGUCGUGCUUGCGACUCGCUCCUCCAGCUCCGUCUCCCUCCCUGCUGUUCCCUCCCGUCUCCCUCCUGGCUCCCUCUCCCCUCUCUCCACCCAACUCUUCCGCUGGCUCAUGGCUCUGGCUCAGCACCCCCUCUUUUUGCCCACCUUCCUGUCACUCCUUGUGUGUCUCAAAGGCCAGCCCCUGAGGCUUCUGACUGAGUGGAGCAUCUCCAUGCAGAACAGAGUACCUCUGGGGCAGAGCUGUUGCAGGGGGUCACCAGGGAGUCCACACUGCAGGUGGCUCAGGAGCAUCCUCGGUCCGCUAUCCUGUGCUGGUCAUGAGCAGAACCUGGUGCCUUGUGGGUAAAGCACCUUCGGCGGGGCUCCGAGCAUGGCAAGGACUCGGAUGGUGUGGGGACCAUGCAGUGGGUGGGCAGGAUGGCAAGAUGAGUGAGGGCGGCUCACCGGCAGAGGAUGGUGACCAGGGCAGCUGGGCCUCCGGACAAUUCAUACAAGGAGCCACAGAAGGCACUGGGGAUUGCAGGUGGGGACAGGAAGACCUCGGGAAGCCUCGGAUGCAGCAUCAGGAGUGCUCGCCAGUAGGCUGGUCUCCCCUUCUUGCA